rnacentral:rRNA from 1 species
UACGGUAGGGUGCAAGCGUUAUCGGAAUUAUUGGGCGUAAAGAGCUCGUAGGCGGUUUGUCGCGUCUGCUGUGAAAACCCGAGGCUCAACCUCGGGCCUGCAGUGGGUACGGGCAGACUAGAGUGCGGUAGGGGAGAUUGGAAUUCCUGGUGUAGCGGUGGAAUGCGCAGAUAUCAGGAGGAACACCGAUGGCGAAGGCAGAUCUCUGGGCCGUAACUGACGCUGAGGAGCGAAAGCAUGGGGAGCGAACAGG